rnacentral:lncRNA from 1 species
CCAGCCUGGGUGACAGAGUGAGACCCUUUCUCAAUUUUUUAAAAAAGGGGAGGAUGGGCUUUGGUGAUCGUGACAUCUGCUCCACGGCUUGCACCUUAUUUAGGGCAAGCACCUGCCUCAGUUUCCCUGAUAGUAAAAAUGGGGAUCCACACCUCUAACUGAAAAGUCACUGAGGACUCAGUCUGACGAACGUGAGCCCCCACACGAGGGUGCCUAGUUCCCACGAGAGAGACAGACCUGGGUCCCCAAGGUGGGGUCAGGGGCUGAGGGCUCAGCCUCUAUAUGUGCUGACUCUGAGGCCAGACUG